rnacentral:lncRNA from 1 species
CCGUGUCCGAUAAAACUAGUAGGAGAGGGAGAUCUAAUCCGAGCCAAACUCAGUUUGUAAACCUAGAGAAUCCCUCCAUAAGAAGACCACCGUUGUUCCUUUAGGUUCUAUCCUUGAUCUUUUGAGGAAUUGCCACCAAUCUCUCAAACUUCCCCUUUGAAUCUUCGUUGUAUUUAGCUAGAAGGAUUGUCGGAUUUUCCUCCCAUCAAAGCCACCGGACCA